rnacentral:rRNA from 1 species
UAAUUGGAGAGUUUGAUCCUGGCUCAGAAUGAACGCUGGCGGCGUGCUUAACACAUGCAAGUCGAACGAGAAACCCCGGCUUGCCGGGGGAGUA